rnacentral:rRNA from 1 species
UAAAGUGGCGUACGGGUGAGUAACACGUGGAUCAUCUACCUCUUAGUGGGGAAUAACUUUGGGAAACCGAAGCUAAUACCGCAUAAGCCUGGAAAGGGAAAGCAGCAAUGCGCUGAGAGAGGAGUCCGCGGCCGAUUAGCUAGUUGGCAGGGUAAAAGCCUACCAAGGCAUUGAUCGGUAGCCGGCCUGAGAGGGCACACGGCCACACUGGCACUGAAACACGGGCCAG